rnacentral:sRNA from 1 species
UAAAGCUAAAGGAUAGGAAUACGAGGA